AUGCUGCUUCCGCACCAGCAAUCACAGUCGAGCACGCCGCAAGCCUCAUUUUCCCUAGUGUCAGCCGAUACGCGCAUACCUCAAGAGGAGCCUACAUCCAAUGCUGGUCAAGUUCAGGAGUCCCCCACGGAGAGUGCCAGUUCUAGGGAAACUUGGCCUAAUGUUGAAGCUAUGUUGGCAAAGAAGAUGGAGAAUGAUAAUGCUGAACAUUCAGUUGUUCACCGUCUAUGUAAUGCUGAUAAAAUAUCCCUCAGGGACAUUGCAAGGGAGAGAGUAGACAUAAUCUCCGAAAAGAUGCAUCGUCUACCAGAUGAAUUUCUCGAAGAGUUGAAAACUGAGCUACGAGUUAUUCUUGAUGGUAAUGGUGGUUCACAGCAUAGAGAGGAGAUUUUCCUUUUACAGAAGCUUGUUCAGAGUAGAACUGAUUUAACUGAUAAGACUCUACUUAUAGCCAAUCGAGCGCAACUCGAGAUCCUAGUGGCAAUAAAUACUGGAAUUCAGGCGUUCUUGCAUCCAAAUAUUACCCUCCCACAGAACACUCUAAUUGAGAUCUUUGUAUACAAGAGGUGCAGGAAUAUAGCAUGCCAAAACCAGCUCCCAGCUGACGACUGUACAUGUGAGCUAUGCUCCAAGAGAAAUGGUUUCUGCAAUCUUUGCAUGUGUGUAAUAUGUAAUAAGUUUGAUUUUGAAGUUAAUACUUGUCGUUGGAUUGGCUGUGAUCUGUGCUCUCAUUGGACUCAUACGGAUUGUGCCAUUCGUGAUGGACAAAUUUGCAUGGGGUCAUCUGGUAAGAGUGGAACCGGGCAAUCUGAAAUGCUUUUCAGGUGUCAAGCCUGCCAUAGAACGUCAGAGCUGCUGGGUUGGGUUAAGGAUGUUUUCCAGCACUGUGCACCUGCCUGGGACAUGGAGGCUUUGACAAGGGAACUCGACUAUGUUAGUAGAAUAUUUCGUGGAAGUGAGGACCUUAGAGGGAGGAAGCUUUUCAGGAAUUGUGAGGAUCUCAAGGAGAAAAUGAAAAGUGGGGUUGUGGAUUCUUCGAUGGCAUGCAGAACUAUAUUGGGAUUUUUCCAAGAACUUGAGUUGGACUCUCCAAGAAGCAUGGAAAAUGGGGAAGGAGGACGACUAGUAGCCCCACAGGAGGCAUGCAGCCGCAUUGCUGAUGUAGUACAGGAAGCCAUAAGAAAAAUGGAAAUAGUAGCCGACGAGAAGAAGAGGAGAUUCAAAAAAGCACGAAUGGAUGUCGAGGCAUUCGAGCAUGAGGUUGAGGACAAGACCAGGGAAGCAGCAGAACUAAAGCUGGAGAAACAGAGAAAGAAGCUGCAGAUUGAAGAGCUGGAGAAAAUUGUGAGACUUAAACUGGCAGAAGCAGACAUGUUCCAACUUAAGGCCAAUGAGGCAAAACGAGAGGCUGAUAGGCUCCAGAUGAUUGCUCUUGCCAAAUCUGAAAAAUCUGAAGAAGACUUUGCUAGCAGCUACCUGAAACAGCGGUUAAAAGAGGCUGAAGCAGAGAAACAGUAUUUGUUAGAGAAGAUUAAACUGCAGGAAAGUUUCCGUUCACCGAGCAGCGGUGGAGCAGAUCAGUCCUAAAUCCUUACAUAGUUUCGAAACAUCGUUCUAUAUCGUACUGCAUCCUCUCAUAGUCACACAAGCUAAGUGAUGGUCGUUGAAGCUGCCUUAAAGUUGACUUGAAUUAGCUAUGUUUCUGUUGUGGGGGACUGUAAUGUUGUCUGUUUUUGUUGUCUGUUGAUCACUGUUAGAUAUGAAGGGAUUCUAUAAUGGUGUAAGUAAGCGCUGGUGAUCCUGGAGUUCAUGUAGUGAGCACUGAGAUUGUGUAGGGUAAUGAUCUGCCAAAAGAGAGAAACAAAAGCAGCAGGCAUGUUAAAGAGAUUAGACGCAACUUUGAAUGGACAGAUCUUGCUUUAGUUGCUUGUAGGUCCUUGUCCUUUUUAGGAGUGCUCUCUAAUGGAUCCCACUUCCAAUAUUGCAGCAAUCAAUUGAGCAGUAGAACUGUAUGAUUUGGAGAUGCUAUUGGUCUGAGUGGAGUCUACAAUUAGUUCUUGAUUGCUCGACUUGAAAGGCUGCAUUCAGAAAGCUUAGCUCACUUCUUCCUUGGACCAGAAUACAGAUAAUUGCAAACAUGUCCAGGGAAAUUAAUUGAGUUUUUGAAGAAUAGAGAAACCAAAAAAGGGUGUAUCAAGGUUCGAUGUUGCCCGCUUUGACCUGUUACGUAUCAUUAUUAGCCUUACGAUGUUAAAACGUGUAUGCCAAAGAGAGGUUUAUACUCCCUUAUAAAAGAAUGUUUUAUUCCUCUCUCCAACCAAUGUGAGAUCUCAUAGUCCACCCCCCUUAUUGGCAUCAUCCAGUGUCUGGCUCUGAUACCAUUUGUAAUACCCCAAACCCCCCUCUCUAACCAACGUGGGAUCACACAGUCCACCUCCUUUCAGGGCUUAGCAUUCUCGCUGGCACACUGUCCAGUGUCUAGCUCUGAUCAAGUCCACUACUAGCAGAUAUUAUCCGUUGUGGUCCAUUAUGUAUCAUCGUCAACCUCAUGGUUUUAAAAUGCGUCCACUAGAGUUUUAUGAGGAUUGAUCUUGAUGAGCUAUAAAAUGUUGUUGAGUGGGUUUAAAAGUAAAUAGUUGUUUAUGUUGAUGGCAAUGGAGGAAGCUCCAUUGAUAUUAGAUAGAAGUAGACAGACAUGUAAGGAUUAUUGAACUCAUAUCUAAUGCCUCAAUAGAUAAUCAAAUCACCCACUUUCAAUGGUUUA